GCUGGGUGUGGUGGUGCGUGCCUGUAAUCCCAGCUACUCAGGAGGCUGAGGUUGCAAUGAGCGAGAUCACACCAGUGCACUCCAGCCUGGGUGACAGAAUGAGACUCCAUCUCAAAUAAAUAAAUAAAAAUUAUUAAGAUGAGAGAGUAUUGGCAUUUAUUUAUUUAUUUUUGAGACAGAGUCUCACUCUGUCACCCAGGCUAGAGUGCAGUGGUGUGAUCUUGGCUCACUGGAACCUCU
rnacentral:sRNA from 1 species